CACCAGCCCCUCGAGUGGUGGGGAUGAUUAUUUGGCCUAAAGCGUCCGUAGCCGGCCGGGUAAGUUUCCCGUUAAAUCCAAUGUCUCAAGCAUUGGACUGCGGGAAAUACUGCCUGGCUAGAGAGUGGGAGAGGUGUACGGUAUUCUGGGGGUAGGGGCGAAAUCCUUUGAUCCCCGGAGGACCACCAGUGGCGAAGGCUGUACACUAGAACACGUCUGACGGUCAGGGACGAAAGCUGGGGUAGCGAACCGGAUUAGAUACCCGGGUAGUCCCAGCUGUAAACGAUGCAUGCUAGGUGUUGGGUUGGCCACGAGCCACCCCAGUGCCGCAGGGAAGCCGUUAAGCAUGCCGCCUGGGAAGUACGAUCGCAAGAUUGAAACUUAAAGGAAUUGGCGGGGGAGCACCACCAGGCGUGAAGCCUGCGGUUU
rnacentral:rRNA from 1 species